rnacentral:rRNA from 1 species
UACGGAGGGGGCUAGCGUUGUUCGGAAUUACUGGGCGUAAAGCGCGCGUAGGCGGCUUUGUAAGUUAGAGGUGAAAGCCCGGAGCUCAACUCCGGAAUUGCCUUUAAGACUGCAUCGCUAGAAUCAUGGAGAGGUGAGUGGAAAUUCCGAGUGUAGAGGUGAAAUUCGUAGAUAUUCGGAAGAACACCAGUGGCGAAGGCGACUCACUGGACAUGUAUUGACGCUGAGGUGCGAAAAGCGUGGGGAGCAAACAGG